UGUGCACAGCUACAGUGUAAUGGCUAGCAUA
rnacentral:piRNA from 1 species